GACAGAGGUGCCGAGCGUUAGGCGGAAUCACUGGGCUUAAAGCGUGUGUAGGCGGAUCGUUAAGUGCCUUGUGAAAUCCCACGGCUCAACCGUCGAACUGCUUGGCAUACUGGCGAUCUUGAGCCACUUAGGGGCUACCGGAACAAAUGGUGGAGCGGUGAAAUGCGUAGAUAUCAUUUGGAACGCCAAUGGUGAAAACAGGUAGCUGGGAGUGUGCUGACGCUGAGACACGAAAGCCAGGGGAGCAAACGGG
rnacentral:rRNA from 1 species